CGCAACCCUUGUCAUUAGUUGCUACAAAGGGCACUCUAAUGAGACUGCCGGUGACAAACCGGAGGAAGGUGGGGAUGACGUCAAGUCCUCAUGGCCCUUAUAGGUGGGCUACACACGUCAUACAAUGGCUGGUACAAAGGGUUGCCAACCCGCGAGGGGGAGCUAAUCCCAUAAAGCCAGUCGUAGUCCGGAUCGCAGUCUGCAACUCGACUGCGUGAAGUCGGAAUCGCUAGUAAUCGUGGAUCAGAAUGUCACGGUGAAUACGUUCCCGGGUCUU
rnacentral:rRNA from 1 species